rnacentral:rRNA from 1 species
UACGGGGGGGGGCAAGCGUUGUUCGGAAUUACUGGGCGUAAAGGGCGCGUAGGCGGCCCUCUAAGUCAGACGUGAAAUCCCACGGCUUAACCGUGGAACUGCGUCUGAUACUGGAGGGCUUGAAUCCGGGAGAGGGAUGUGGAAUUCCAGGUGUAGCGGUGAAAUGCGUAGAUAUCGGGAGGAACACCGGUGGCGAAGGCGGUUCUCUGGGCCUUACCUGACGCUGAGGAGCGAAAGCGUGGGGAGCGAACAGG